AUUGAACGCUGGCGGCAGGCCUAACACAUGCAAGUCGAACGGAGCAGCGGACGGGGGCGGAAGGCUUAGGAAUGUGCCUGGUAGUGGGGGAUGACGUCCGGUACCGGGCGCUAAUGCCAAAACCUAUCAGAUGAGCCUAGGUCGGAUUAGGUAGUGGGUGGGGUAAAGGCAUACCAAGGCGACGAUCCGUAACUGGUCUGAGAGGAUGAUCAGCCACACUGGAACUGAGACACGGUCCAGACUCCUACGGGAGGCAGCAGUGGGGAAUAUUGGACAAUGGGGGCAAGCCUGAUCCAGCCAUGCCGCGUGAGUGAAGAAGGCCUUCGGGUUGUAAAGUACUUUAAGUUGGGAGGCGUUACCAACAGAAUAAGCACCGGCUAACUCCGUGCCAGCAGCCGCGGUAAUUC
rnacentral:rRNA from 1 species